AAUGAAAGCAAAGAUAUGAUUGGUUGCUGUUGGUAACUGCACUGGUGCAAUUUAGCAAAAAAGUCGAAAAGUGAUGUUGAGGGGAAAGAAGGCAUUAAAAAAGCUGCAUUUCAACACAUAUCUUUUUUAUUUAUAAUGCAGCAAGUAUCGCAGAUAUUUUGUAUUUAAAUUAAUUAAUACAUUUUCAUUUCUUGCUAUGCUUUUGCUAACUGGCUGUUUCAUGUCUUAAGUCUAGAACAUUGUAUUACUAUUGAAGGUCUUGCUACAAGCACUGUCAUGAAUAGCAGGCCACUGUUGUCUUCAAUACAGGGAUUCAGCAACAAAAUCAACAAAGCUCUAUGGGUCAUGUUCAGAUCCUGCCCCAGGCUACAACUCUAUCAUCUCAGCAAGACUUGCUAAAGAACAUAUGGAAGGAUCAGUGUGUUUUGGCUGCAGUUUUGAAUUCCAUGUCUGAACUCUAGCGGGAUUCGGUUGUGGCUGUUUUCAGAUGACAGCAGGCAUGUCUACUGUAAGAAAUAAUUGUUCACAUGACUCUGAAUCACUGAAUUAACAUUUUUUGUUCAAUGUAAAGUAUUGUGUCAAGCUAAAAUGCACUGUUAAUAAACAUUUGCAAUGCAAUUUUGAA